rnacentral:rRNA from 1 species
UUGAAAGGGAAACGAUUGAAGUCAGUCGUACCUGCGGGUAAUCAGCCUUUUGGGCAUGAUUCUGUGGAGCGUGAGGAGUUAAACGCCUUCAUGCCUGCAUAUUCGUGUACUUUGGGUGUACUUGCCUGUGUGGUUAGUUAACAUCAAUUUUGGUUAUCAUAAAAUGGUUGGAGGAAUGUAGCUUCGAUUUCGAUUGAAGUGUUAUAGCCUUCGGCAGAUGUGAUGAUCGGGAUUGAGGAUUGCAACGGAUACUCUUCGGGGCUACCUGUCUGGUCCCUGAUCGUUGCUCUGGUGCCGAAAGCUUGCUUACGGCUAUCAAAGUCGAUGGUCAAUAGGUUAGAAUGGGUUAAAUUCGUUAAGGAUGUUGACGUA